rnacentral:rRNA from 1 species
CCUACGGGUGGCAGCAGUGAGGAAUAUUGGUCAAUGGACGAGAGUCUGAACCAGCCAAGUAGCGUGAAGGAUGACUGCCCUAUGGGUUGUAAACUUCUUUUAUAAAGGAAUAAAACGAGGCACGUGUGCCUUUUUGCAUGUACUUUAUGAAUAAGGAUCGGCUAACUCCGUGCCAGCAGCCGCGGUAAUACGGAGGAUCCGAGCGUUAUCCGGAUUUAUUGGGUUUAAAGGGAGCGUAGAUGGGUUGUUAAGUCAGUUGUGAAAGUUUGCGGCUCAACCGUAAAAUUGCAAUUGAUACUGGCAGUCGUGAGUACAGUUGAGGUAGGCGGAAUUCGUGGUGUAGCGGUGAAAUGCUUAGAUAUCACGAAGAACCCCGAGUGCGAAGGCAGCUUACUAAACUGUGACUGACAUUGAUGCUCGAAAGUGUGGGUAUCAAACAGGAUUAGAUACCCGAGUAGUC